CCUCCUUCCCUCUGGCCUACAUAGAGAAACAUGCAUAACUUCAUCACUUGCCCCUGCAGCCUUGAAGUAAUACCACCGGCUACUUCACGGCGACAACACAUGCUGUAUCAGCGGCGUUUCAUCAUCCACUCCAGCACCACAGCAUCGUCCCGAUGCGCCGUCCCGGGACGGGAUGGAGGCCCGAUGUAUGGAUGUGCGCGUGCGCCCGCGUGUGCGUGUGAGUGACGCAUGCAGAGCCCAGAGGCAUCGCGCCCGCGCUGGAUUACUAAUGAACUAAUCGUGACACAAACCUACACAACAGUAGCUCCAGAUUACGCUUAUCUGCCGGUGUAAUUGUGUGUUUACAGUUGUGGCCCAGUGGGGGGGUGUGUGUGUGUAAUGGAAUGCCCCCCCCCCCCCCCCUCCCCGUGGCGGUGGCAGUGUGUGCGCAGUUUCAUGCAUUUGACAAUAGGCGGGAUCCAGAGUGGAUUUGGAUAAACUUGAUUGUAAUGCGUAUCUCACUGUGCAGCCGCAGACAGCUGGAUAUGAGCCACAAAUCCACGCGAUGGUAGAAAGCUUAAUCCUGCCAGAGGAAGCGGGAUUGUUGGAUGGGAUUGGCGCUAAUUCCGCUGCGCUGCAUGGAGUCAGGCGCUGCAGAUAAAAGGCACUUGGUGGCACCUUCUCUGUUUUAAUGACUCGGGGUUAUUUUUGUACACACCGGGUGAAAACCAAAGUGUCCCGCUGACUCCAUGUGUUUGAUUUGAGGAUCUUGGAAAAUGGAAACGAAAUAUAUAUAAUAUCUCUCUCACAAGAUACAUUUUUUUUAAAUAAAUAGAGAUUAUUUGUAAUCUGGCAGUGGAGUGAAGGGUUUGUACACUAGGGGGCGUCUCGCUCAGUCGAGUUCAAAUCCUGAUUAAGAUUGGACGUGGAACAAACAGGACGUCUUAUGGUGAAUUAAUACAUUAACAACAACACAACGACACCAAAAUAACUCCAAAAAGUGCUCCGGUUGUUGAUGCCAGAAAUGUGAAUCCUUGGAUUUCUUUUUUUUAUUUUACUGGAACAUCCUGGAAAAAAAAAAAUCAAUGCUCAAUAUUGAGUAAAAUCAAUCGUCGCAGUAGUCGGUGUCAGGGACUUUUGUAGUUCCUGGAGUUACUGAGUGCUUGGUUUUGUGUGUGCGUGUGCGUGUGUGUGUGUGUGUGUGUGUGUGUGUGUGUGGAAGAUAAUCCAUAUUAAUUAACCACUUGUCUAAUUGAGCCACAGUGAAUGAAACAUGACCAAACUGAGGCUCCAUCCAGACAGCUGAGUGCUAGCCGGUAUGUAGCCGGGAGCUAGCCGGUGUGGUAGCUGGUGUGCUAACAGGGAGCUAGCCGGUGUGGUAGCUGGUGUGCUAGCCGGGAGCUAGCCGGUGUGGUAGCUGGUGUGCUAACAGGGAGCAAGCCGGUGUGAUAGCUGGUGUGCUAGCCGGGAGCUAGCCGGUGUGAUAGCUGGUGUGCUAACAGGGAGCUAGUCGGUGUGGUAGCUGUUGUGCUAGCAGGGAGCUAGCCGGUAUGCUAACGUUACUGCAAGAAUUGUGCAAGAAUAUGACCAUUACACAUUUUAUUUGGAUUGCAAUUCUGUAAAGACGUUUCAUAAAUCAAAGUUAUUUCAUCAUUUUGAAGUGACCUAUUGUCUACGUUGAAUAUUGUGUAUUUUCCUCAUAUGUGACGGAAAGAAGUGAGUUCUGGUCGAUAUUAAUACGAUGGUGAAAGGUUCUAUGAUUUCCCAUGUGUGUUGACAUCGUACGGUCGGUGAAGAACCAAACAGGCAGUUUGUUGAUUCAUGAAGGAUGCAGAGCGUUUACUGCUCACGGGUUCUUCAGUCGCUUCAACAUUCAGUGAGUCCGUCUUUAUGGAUCCACCUAAUAAAUCUAUUGAUUUCGUUCCAGAUUCACCUGUUCAAAAGAUUUGAAACCCCAUUUUUUUGUUUUGUUUAGAUUUUAAGAGUCAACCUGGAAUUUAAUGGCUUGUGGGUGCAUCGUGUGUAUGUGUGUAUGUGUUAGACAGCCGCGUGUGUGUGUGUGUGUGUGUGGUUUGAGAAAAGAAAUCCCAGCAUUUGCAGCUGUUGGGUUAAAGAAUCCAAUGUGUGUGUGUGUGAUCAUCUACGUGUCCGAGGUCAUGUCACACACUUGGUGGCGCUCGGUUUGGGUGAAGGGUCACGAUUCAGAUCUGAGACCAGCGUCCUGUUGCAAACGUGCUCGUGUGGAUCUGCUCUGUUAGACAGCUGCAGGUGAAUGAUGAGGGAACACACACACACACACACACACACACACUCAACAUGACUCCUCAGCUCCUCCCCCCACCUCCCUCCCCCUCACGUCAACCCCGCCCCCCGAAAUGAUGAUUGC
ensembl:lncRNA